rnacentral:lncRNA from 1 species
AAAGAUACAUCUUGCAAGGUCAAAACAGAGAAUACAGACCGCAGACAGUAUCAAAUGAAAGAUACAUCUCGCAAGGUCAAAACAGAGAAUACAGACCGCAGACAGUAUCAAAUGAAAGAUACAUCUCGCAAGGUCAAAACAGUGUGACUCUGGAAAUGAGUUACCAGCAUACAGUGUAAAUUGCCGGUGAAAUACCGUUACCUUAAGGCCAUGAAUUAUAAGGUAACCCGGGAUACUCGUAACCAUACUAACCGACACUAGAGUACCAGACGCCCUACAAGCGUCUAUAGAAUAUGACAUUUGUCACCCCUUGGCUUGGUAGGCCGUGGACUGUAGCUAGCAGUCAGGGUGCGGGGGUGUCAAUCCCAUAUAGAUCUAUACACACAAUGUCCGCUCUCCCUACAGGAGACUUUGGUUACCAACUAGACGACGGAGAAGGUCGUGUCCUGAAGAGGCAUCCCAAAUAGUGGGUAGAGACUUCCAAAUAGUGGGUUUCUAAUGUAAGUGAUGAACUAGAGGUACAGACUCAUAACUGAACUGACUAAAGUAACCCAUAUGUCUAUGCUUGUGUACAUAAUAUAUAACUAACGAAUCAAACGACCUUCGGAUGGACAUCUGAUCCCACCAGACCACAUCUCAACGAAGAAAAGGAAAUAGGGCGGACAAGCCUUCCUAAUCCCUUCAGUCAUUACUUAUGCAUCUAGACAAGCACAUACAUACUUCUAACUAUGCUUGAAUGUGUAACAAAUGGAUUCAUAUCAUGAAGUAUAAGUGUACAGUGUGGAAUAACCGAAUCGUGAAGUAUAAGCGUGCCAAAAGUAAGUGUAUCACAAAGUGGAAACGACAACAAGUGAAGUAGGAGCGCAUCGAGUUUAAGUGAAGUAGAAGCGAUAUCAAGUAUAAGUGAAGUAGAAACGUAUCACUAAGUAAGAGUGUGAACAAGUAUAAGCGUCCAGCAGGUAUAAGUGUAUCACAAAGUGGAAACGUUUUCAAGUAUAAGUGUACCACGAAGUAGAAGCGACGACUGGUGAAGUAAGAGUGUCUAUCAGGUAUAAGUGACUACCAAUAUAAGUGAAAUAGAGGCAAUAACAGGUAUAAGCGCUUCAAGAAGUGAAAGUGUUACCAAUUAGGAGUAUAAAAUAAGUAAAAGUGAAGCGGCAGUAACUAACAAGUAAAAGUAUACGACGUGAAAGAGAACUUCGAUGAAAGCCUUGGGAAAAGCCUUUAUACUCAGGGAAAAUCACAUUUGGUAUUCUUUGGUAAAAUAAGUUUGAAAAACUUUAUAAAUUCCUUGGAAACUUUUCAUAACCCAGUUUGAAAUGAACUUUGAUAAAAACAGUAUAAGUAAGAGUUUUGAACAAGUGAAAACCUUUUUAAAAACCAUUUAUAGUAUCCUACUCGGUAAAAACAGUGUACAGUGGUAAAACCUUGUGCAUGCGGGUUAUCAAUCACAUGUGAUUGAUAUGAUAACUGGCAUGUUUAACUUGUAUUCCCCCCACCCCCCUAUAAAACAUGUAAAAACUUUAAAAGGUUCAUUCAGGGGUAUGAACUCACCUGGCGUAAGUGGAUUCGACAAAGGCGCCGGUUGGGUGCUCGGUGUCAAGUAAAGACUUGGACACACAUAGUGACCUAUUUAACAUAUGAUAACAUAUGUUUACAUACAAUUAGUACAUAUAAUACUAAUUAAACAAGUAUACGCACCCUAAAGAGCGGAAAACACUUUGGUUAAGUGUUUGGGGUGUCCCGGGUAAGAACUAAGGGUUCAAAUGGCUUAGGAAUGGAGUUUUCUCUUCGAGUUUACGGCCAUAAACUCAUGGUGAGGGGUUCUAGGGUGUUUUAAAGGCUCAAUCUUGUUCGUGGGAUUUUUCUAGGUCCAAAACUAAAAGGCAUGAGUGAGUUUAGGGCUUUUAAAGGCAUUAUUAGGGAGUUUACGGCCUAUGAACCAUCCCUAAGGGAGUUCACGGCCGUGAACUCCUAUGCCAUGAGAUUAUUGAAGUUCUAAGCCCUUAAAUCACUCCUAGUAAGUAUUCAAGGCUAUAGGGGUGUUUGGGGUCCCAAGUGUGCACUCCUUUAGAGUUUAUGGUCCAAAUGACCAUCCCUUGGGAGUUUACGGCCGUAAGCUCUAUGGCUUGGCCGUGAACUCUCAUACACCCACAACUCUUUGAUUUAAAGCCCUUGUUUCAAUCCUAGCAUUUUCUAGUGAAAGUAUAAGGCUAUUUAGGGGACAUUUACUAUCAUUUUAGCAUGUUUAGGGGUGUUUACGGCCUAGACACUUGCUUGGGCCGUAAACUCCAUGUUACCCCAUAUUUCCUUGUGUUUAAAUGAUCUCAACCCGAAAUAGCAAGUCCCUUAAUUAUGUCUUAAGCCUAAGGGUGGUUUGGGAGUGUUUUUGGGGCAUUUUGACAAGGUUUUGAGGGGUUUACGGCCUAAGCAUGUGCUUGGGCCGUAAACUCUCUUUUAUGCCCUAAAACUUUAUGUUUUGAUGUUUAAACACUCCUAGGCUAAAUCCCCAAUUAGUUUCCAAGCUUAAGGGUGAGUUUAAAGGCAAGUUUGGCAUCAUAUUAGGGGUUUACGGCCCUAGAGUGUUCUUGGGCCGUAAACUCCUUACUCCUUUCCUUCUUGGACGAUUUUUGGGGUAUAACUACAACUAGUAAUGUUUAGAACAAGCUAGGGUAAGUGGACUUAUGAUUUGGAAGCGUUUGGUUGCGGAUUCGGGUCGAAAACGAGUCUAGAGAGAGAGAGAGUAUAGAGAGAGAGAGAGGGUGGAAAAGGCUCCAAUGGAGUUUACUCCCCCUUAUAUAUGGGUGGGAGUUGGAGCUUAGUGAUAUUCUACCCGAUACUGUCGUUUAACGGGGCUUUUGGUUGCACCCGAUUUAGUGGUCGUGAUGAUAAAACUAACUUUUCCAACUAAAUGGAAAUGUGUAUUACGAGUUUUUAUUUCUCUUAUCACGACUUAAUGAAAUAAAAAUAUAAAUAAAUGAACAUUUAUUUAUUUGACGACCUCUAAUUAACGGAACUUUUAUACAGUGGAAUAUUCCGUUAAUGGUAACGGGGAAAUGUAACGACACAAACUUGGGUUGUCACAGAUGCUACGCGAUACUGCCGUUAAACAGGGCUUUUGGUCGCACCUGAUUUAGUGGUCGUAAUAAAAUUUAACUUUUUCCAAAAUAAUAUGGAAAUGUAAAGUAAGUGUCUUUAUUUCUUUUAUCACGACGUUAACGACAUAUAAUAUAAAUAAAUAAAACAUUUAUUUAUUUGGCGACCUCUAAUUAACGGAACUUUUAUAAAAUGGAAUAUGCCGUUAACGGUAACGGGGUAAUGUAACAGAAUAAACUUUGGGUUGUCACAUCAACCCCCCGUUAAAGGGAAUUUCGUCCCAAAAUUUAGGUCUAGGCAAGGUAAUAGGUAUGAAUGACCGAGUAGAGGUAGGAGGGUACUUCCUAUUCAGUUUGUCCUCACAUUCCCAAGUGAACUCUGGUCUGUGUUUGUCAUUCCAACAAACCUUCAUCUACGCGAUGCGGAUUUCCGUCUAGUAUAGUUAGUGGGUUCCGACUGGUGUAUCUACGAGGUUAGGGUUCUCAAUGGUUUCGAUCAAGAUGAGUGGGAUACGAAGAGCGACUUCGGGUAAACACACAUCAAGUCUAUGAAGUGGAUCAAUCGAGUGUGAAACUUGUGGAAUAUCCGAAAGUAGUUGUGGUCUGACGAGGGUUGGACCAAUCUUCGUAAGGGAUCUCAGGUGGUCCUAAGCUCUCGGAAGGGUAGAGCUUUUCAGUACCUAGAACAUAGUGUACUUCUAUGGCAAGAUCAUCACUGGCGUGAUCGCCAUUCCGAAGUUCCUAAUGUUCUCUCUCAUACUGGUAGUGUAGUCCUUCAGGUUGGUUCUUAGGAAGCUCGGGUUGUCUUUGGUUUCGCGUUUCCUGUCAAUUAGGUUUUAGAGGCUUUCUAGAUCAUCGGAUGGGUUGUGUGCCUAUGGUAUCUAUUUUUUGUAGAGUGUCUAUCUCAAGCUCGUGCAAAAUGAACCUGCACUAACGAAUUUUGAGAUACGGAAACCCUCAGGGUCGGGGAGAUACGGUUUCACCAAACGAGUGUUGGACUAUCUCGGGAGGCGUUUCUACUAUUUCUGCGUGAGAUGGUAUUCGUGGAGCACCUAAUAGUCCAAUAAAUCUCUAAGACUUUGGUUUAUUCUAGUACGGAAAGCGCAUGCUCCUGCAUAACCCCUCGACUAACACCAAGGCUGGUGUCAAGUCUAUAAUCUCUUCGGGAUCUGGGUUAUAAGACUUAACGCACUGCUUUCGCACUUUGAUCAAGUAUUCUUGGCUACUAAGGUUAUCCUGUGGUUCUCGGUAUCCUAGUGUUCACUUCGGAGAAUGUAGUCUAUCGUCUAAAAGGCGACGGUGACUUCCUCCAUGCGAGAGGGCGGAGGAUCUUAGGCACUACUAGUUUGUAAUAGGGUGGAUGAAGUGCCUGAGUAGUGCGAGCAUCUACUGCAACUACUCUUCCGAAGGUUCUGAGUUUUCCCGGUCUAGGUCAAAUCUAGUGAGUAUAGGUUCCCAUCACUCGGAACUUUAAUCUCUUUACUAACUGAGGGUGUUAGCUACUAUGUGAGCUUAACCUGUAUGACAACAAAUUUCGGACUUGUGGUCAUUAUAGUAGCUCAACCCGCAGUGGUUCUCUUGACUCCAGCUCCUAUUUUAUGGAAUAGGAUGAAGGGCUUUACUAUGAGGUUCGUGGUAGAGCUCAUACUUGGUUUAACCACUAAUACUUGGUGUAUGCAGGCCGUAUAUAAUUGAGGUCGGCAGGAGGUUCAGUUGUGCGACUCCACCCCAGACCCACAACCCAACGAGGAACAGGGAGUAGGGAGGAAGCACACAUCUUAAAUCUUUUUUAUCUCAACUAUAUACAAACUUUAUGCAUAUACCUGGUUAUAGUGGUCAGUCCCAUGAGUUCUAUCCUCUGGGUUCACGAACCUAAUGUGCGAGGUGCGAAGGGUCUUUCUGGGGAAUCUACGAAGUAUGCUUCGGAUGGUUAUUGUCUUCUGGAGUAUCUUGCAGAGUCUUUCGCUUCGGUUUCCAUCUGACUAAGGGGGUUUGGUCAACAGCGCAUGGUAUCCUUAUCCUGGGUACUUCGGAAGGUUUGAGAUAAGAGGGACGACUGACGAAUCGCAUUAGGUUUAAUCAUUUGUGUUAUGUUUGAGGUUCGGAAGAACCUUUAUUUCCUGACAUGGCUACAGAGAAAGUUCUUUUUACACAACACUAGGGAUGUACACAUGGUUGAACUACGUCAAACCAUGAUCGAUAGAGUCGUCGAAAUUUGCAUACUUCGACAUGACAUAAAAUGAGCGUCGAUAGAGUCAUGUGCCGAUUAGGCACACCAGUUCUAGGCGUCUCGUGUUUCGUCCUGUGUAUCACUGUCGCGGAUACUUGGAGCGAUAGAGUCGACGCGGAACUAUAGAGAGUCCUAAGUGUUUCUUUGUAGAGUACCUUUUCAUAAAUGGAUUCUCACGAGGCAUUUCUAUAAUCGCCUAACAUAUACUAGCCAUGUAUAGUUAAGUUGGGGAGGAUUGUUGACUGAGCGACUCCGACCUAAAUCCACAACCAAACGAGGAAUGGGAAAUGAGGCGGCAUUCACUCACUCUAGGUCUAUCCAUCUUAACUAUACAUGGCCGUAACGCAUACGUUUAGCCAUUAUAGUUUUACGUAAUGAAUUUUAAAUUUUAUAACAAUGCUGCGACUUUCGCCUUAAUGGGGAGGUAUUUACAUUUGAAUUAGCCUUUUGAUGUUCUGCGUUAGUUAUCUGAGAUCAAGAGACGUACCAAAAUCUACCGGGUUCCUUGAGGCUUCUCCUUAAGUAGUAGAGUUAGGCUCCUCCUAUGUCCUUAUUGUUUCUUUCAGUUGGGCAAUCUCUUUUGAAGUGUCCAAUCUCACCACAUAGCCGGCAAACUGGAUUGACCGUCACACUGGUGGUUGAUGUAAUGAACUCAACCGGGGUUCUGCAGACGCGAGCAGUAUGCCCCAACAUGUGGCACCUAGCACAAUAGAGCUCCCGGCAGACACCAUGAUGAUGGUAGCUGCACUUGCUGCUAUGGGGAAGGUUUCCUAAGUAUGGUCUCCUAGGUGUAGGGAUGGGAGGGUUGGCAGUGGUAUUGACUACCUCAGCUCGUUACCCUUCGGAAGGUCCUUGAGCCGAGGUACUUCCCUCCUCAAUCUUGAUCUUUCUCUUCAGCGGAUUUGAGUGAGGUUCUUGGGCGGCUGGGUAUGCAGAGGUUGGUUGCUGCUGUCCACUAAUAGGAUCGGAAUUCCCGAUAUGGCCCCUGCUAACAUUAGCAUUGUUAGCAUUCAAGUGAGCCAUGACAACUGCUAUGGCUGCCGAGACUGCAACUUGGAACGUAGCUUCAUCGAAUAGGAGAGUAGGUUUCUUACUUGUGGACUGGUUGCGUUUCUUCGGAGGCAUGGUUUUUCCUACUCGGAAAGGAAUAUAAGAUAAUGAUAGACGAUGGCUGACCCUGGACAUAUCUGUCUUGACUGUAUUAGGCAUAAAUUUUUCCCGUGCCUCGGGUACUGGUUGUCUGAGUGUCGACCUACAUCCCUAUGAUGUAGUCCUGGUAUGCAAUGUAGGAGUAUAAGUAUCGGAAAGGCCAUAAGAUGCGAGUUGUUCCUACUACGUUACCUUUAUACUGGGUAUAUUGGCAUGACGAACACGAGGAAAAGACAAUUCUCGGGUUCCAUGUACUGGCUCCCUCUGUCUGCCUCGUAUCUUUGACUGGAAUCGGUGUUGGUUUCCUUCGGGUAAUUACCUAGGGUUCUCUUCUCGUGUGGACAUAUUGAAUCUCUACUCCGCCUUGCUUCUGAAUCCGACUCUGGGUGUCAUCACUUCAUGAUGGAUGACUAGAAAUCUCGGAAUUUUAGGCGUAUUUCUCACCGAUGUCCCUAAAAGAUAUAGGCACUUGGUGAAUUCAACAGUCUCGACCCAAUUCAUUUACUUUAACAGGAAAUNNNNNNNNNNNNNNNNNNNNNNNNNNNNNNNNNNNNNNNNNNNNNNNNNNNNNNNNNNNNNNNNNNNNNNNNNNNNNNNNNNNNNNNNNNNNNNNNNNNNNNNNNNNNNNNNNNNNNNNNNNNNNNNNNNNNNNNNNNNNNNNNNNNNNNNNNNNNNNNNNNNNNNNNNNNNNNNNNNNNNNNNNNNNNNNNNNNNNNNNNNNNNNNNNNNNNNNNNNNNNNNAAUAUGUGAUACUACUCUAUAUCCACAUCCCAACGAGGAAAAGGAAGUAGAGCGAAACCACACAUUCUUAGCCUAUGGGAUCCUUAUUAUAUAUAACCUUGGGAGUAUACUCUCUGUAAUUGUAGGCAUAUCAAUAAGGAUCUUUUUAGUUCUUCACACAAGGUUAGUUAUGGAUCCUAAAAUACCCCUAUGGUAUUUUAAUUCUUGUUUGUUUCUUAUCUUCUGAUUAUGAUUCUGGGAGUAAUGUGAAUCUUUUAGUUUUCCAAAAUACUCCUAUAGUAUUUUGACUUUAUGUUUGGCUCUAGCAUUCCUAGUUGGUAAGUUUCAGACCUGUUGCACACCACUAUCACUCCCAAGCACAUGUUCAUCGCAUCUCGAAUAAAUGUAGUUGAUCAGGUUACAUUUAUUCUAGCUGACGAUUACAUAACUGCCCAGGUUUGACGACAAUGCUCAACAUAUGAAGACUUUUAUUAUCGUUCUUCUUGUGAUAUUUGUGUUCGAGUGUUUAGGUUUUGGAUGUUCUUAUACUUUGGUAAAAUAUGGUUAUAUUUUAAAGUAUAAUUCUUGGUCAGAGUGUUUUAUCCCUUUGUAUUUAUAGGCUGUAUAUAUUUUAUGAAUUGAUAUACUUAGCUCACUAUAAACAAUGCUCUGAUACCAAUCUGUCACACCCCAAAACCGGAACGGCGGAAACGUUCUGGGGUGGAUGACGUCAUGUCAAGUAUCACAACACAUGCAUUAUAGUAAUCAAAGUACAACAACCAUUGCAUUAAUAGUAAUAAUUUUACAUGGUUUACAUUACAAUACCACAAAGUAAUACAAGUAAAUAUAUAGGUGCAACUUGGUACUAAGCUAUCUUCAUCAACAGCUCCGGGAAUGUACCUGUCUAAUGCUGACCUGAGAAUACAAGUUAUUUGAAAAGUGUGUAUCAGCAUUUUUACAAAUGCUGGUGAUUUCAUAAGUAUUUAGUGGAAUUUUAUCCAAAUAAAUUUAAUAAUAGUGGUAGUUCUAGAGUAUCCAUUAAGUUAGAGUUCUUUAAUAAAAGCAGUCUUCUACCAAGACUGGACGGAGUUAUGUGGUAAAAAGUAGUUUUCCCUUAAUCGCUAUCAUUAUCAAAAUACAGAAUUUGAUUAUUUAAAGAAAGCAAAAGAGAUCAGGGAAAUAACAUAUGCCUCAGCAGUGAAGACUGCUGACUAAGGCAAAAGGAAUCAUAGACUCCAGGAGAGUAUCGAACAAACGACACGCCUGGCUCAGUCUAACAAAGAGAGACACAGACCCCAGACGGUACCAAAUGAAAGGUACGGCUAGCAAGGUCUAAAAACAGAGAAUACAGACCCCAGACAGUAUCAAAUGAAAGAUACAGCUAGCAAGGUCUAAAAACAGUGAAUACAGACCCCAGACAGUAUCAAAUGAAAGAUACAGCUAGCAAGGUCUAAAAACAGUGUGACUCUGAGAGUGGGUUUCCAGCAUACAGUGUAAAUUGCUGGUGAAAUACCGUUACCUUAAGGCCAUGAAUUAUAAGGUAACCUGGGAUACUCGUA